rnacentral:rRNA from 1 species
UCGAGAAUUUUUCUCAAUGGGGGAAACCCUGAAGGAGCGACGCCGCGUGGAGGAUGAAGGUCUUCGGAUUGUAAACUCCUGUCAUGAGAGAACAAACCUCAACGUUUAACUGGCGUUGAGCUGAUAGUAUCUCAAGAGGAAGGGACGGCUAACUCUGUGCCAGCAGCCGCGGUAAUACAGAGGUCCCAAGCGUUGUUCGGAUUCAUUGGGCGUAAAGGGUGCGUAGGCGGCGAAGCAAGUCAGGUGUGAAAUCCCGGAGCUUAACUCCGGAACUGCACUUGAUACUGCUUUGCUCGAGGACUGGAGAGGAGAUCGGAAUUCACGGUGUAGCAGUGAAAUGCGUAGAUAUCGUGAGGAAGGCCAGUGGCGAAGGCGGAUCUCUGGACAGUUCCUGACGCUGAGGCACGAAGGCCAGGGGAGCAAACGGGAUUAGAUACCCCGGUAGUCC